AUUUAUUUGAAUAACGAAAAUGUUGAAAAUUACAUUUCUCUUAGCGUGUAUAGCUAUCGUAACGGCUAAGCAGGCUUCGGAGGUAAUUCCCUAUCACGUCUCAAUACGGAAUAGCAGUUCACAUAUUUGUAGUGGUACUAUCAUUGGCGACAAGUGGAUAUUAACAGUUGCAGAUUGCGUCUACAGCGUGAAAGCCAUUGCUUCCUUAUCUAUCGCUGUUGGUACCAUCGACAUCACAAAACCUGGAGAGACAUAUGCCGUGUCUACGAUUAAAAUACACGAAGAAUAUCGGCCUAACAGAUUUAAGUACAAUUUCGCCCUGUUAAAGAUUGAUGGAACUAUUCAAUUUAAUGAUAACGUUACGUCUAUUCCUCUGCCUGAAAAUUCGACCCAGGUAGGGGCCAGUGUUGAUGCAUCAGCAUGGAAA